GGAGCCGUAUUUACGCUGUUCUAGAUAUCUUCACUCUGAAUAAACUGUCGCUUGUCAUACAAUUUACCACCUUGUCUGAAUCGAUCCUUGACCGACUCGCCCGUCUACAUAUCUAAUUUCUAACAGAACUUGGUAGGCAGAGGAUAGUUUACUAACGAUCCAGUCGAAGUGAGUUGAUUUGGGUGUGAGAGGGCGAGUUGGUGAAAGGACGGUUCACGGAGGACGGGUGAAGACUUUCGGGGGAGGACAACAAUUCUGCUCAACUCGGAAAACUGAUCUCAAGGUGCACCAUAAAAAAGCUCUUUCCAAACAGAUACACAAAGUCCAUGGGGGGGAGCUGACGGGAGAUCCAGAGCAACCAAGGGUAAAGGUCGGAGACUGGGUAAGGAUCAUGGUCCACAAGAGAAAGUGGCAGGAUCCCAGGUGGACUGGGCCGUACGAAGUGAAGGAGGUUACUUCACACUCGGUCCAGGUCAAAGGUAAAUCAGGGGCGCCUUGGCACCACUUGACUCAUUGUGCACCAGCUUCGAUACCCAAUAGAACACUGACAGAGGUCAGGGUCGACUUGAGCGACUUGAAUUCGGCUCCAAUACAACCCGAUUAGCAGGUGACGAUGUGGACCAGACUCCCAUCAGCAUCGGCUAAUAGGCCUCCUAGAGACAGGGGUUAUCCCUGGACUAGACUGGGUAUAUCUGGCCCCGGUUUAUUCGUGUGUUUGUAAAUGCAUAUGUCUACUGAAUGAUAAAUUGAACGAAUGUUUAGACAAUGUUUUAGAUGUGUUGACUAUAUUGAGUGAAUGUUCAAACAAUGUUUUAGAUGUGCUCUGGCGUAAAUGAAGAUUUGUGAGACUCAAAUCGUGUGCAUGAAAUAUGCUUGAUAUUCAGUCGGGGACUAAUAUCGGUAUGAAUGAGGUCGGGGACCAAGCGAGUGUGGUACAUUAGGUAUUUCAGUUGGAGCUGGUACCGGUGAGUGUUGAAAAAGUCGCAGGCUUGCUGAUGAGAGUUAUAUCAUAGAAUAUUGAGGGGUGUGCAUGACUGUUGGGGGAAAAAAAGUGUUCAACUCUAUUAACGUGAAAUUCUUUUUGUAGAUUUGGGGAGACAAUUUGGAGAAACACGAAUAAGACAUGAAACAUCGAGACAAAUUAUUUGAGUUUGAGGGGAUUAUCAUAAUUAUUAGGUUUUGUUUAUGUAGUACAUGUUUGGGUUAAGGGGAUUUCCAUGUUCCCAGGGACAUGAUAUUUUAAAGAGGAACGCUCACAUAUGGAACUUUUAGUUUUUAUGGAGUUUUAAUUACACAAGUGAUUUAUAUUUUAUUUUAAGGAUAAAGGGUUCUUUAAUAUGGUAUGGAACACGAAUGUAGGGGGAUGGUGUAACCUUUGACCUGCUUUCAUGGCUCUCUCGGGUGGUCUGAUCAGCCACAAGGGGGUGCCAUUUGAAUAAUGAAUUUGUGGUCAUGGGUAAUACUGUCUAAAAAAUAAAUGAAAAGAUUAAAAAAGUUUUUUGAAAUUUAAUUUUUUAAGGUAACUUAAUUAUAGUGGAGUUUACUUAACCUAUAUAAAGACUUUAGAAAUUGCCACAAUAGACAUGUUUUUCUAAAAAAUAAAAAUCCAUGAGUUUAGAUAAAGCCAGACAGUGAGACAUUUAGUUAAAAUGUGGAAACAUGGGAAAAGGCAGACAGAAGAGCCCUCCCCCGCACUGCAGAGACCUUGAAGGUUGGAGAGCAGAGAGGAGAAGUUUUAGAAGGGAGCCAGGACGAGCAAGGAUAACAGAAUGUGUAGAUAACAGUCACUGAGUGGAGACAAAAGGGAGAAUUGGACAUGUGGAAAAUUAAAGGGGCGCUCCUACAUGAUAAUGUCAGAACAGAAGGAUAAUAUACUAAUCUUAUCUAAGUCAUUAUUUAGGGUAGGUAAGGUUGUUACCUGGGCAGAGCCAGGUAUCAAAAGGGGGAUAGGUAAAUUGUGGUCUAGGAUAGGAUGGGGCCUAUUGGAUAAACUAAUAAUUUAAAAAAAAAUGUAGCUAAACAAAUGGGCAUAGAAGGUAAAGAUAUAAUCAGAUAAAACAUAUGAGAAACUGUUUGUUAACCAAGCCUGUAUGUCCAGCAUUUUAUGCAUUAUAGGUGAACUACAGGUGAAGUCACUCAAUCCAGUUCCAGAGGCUUGUUGGGGGGACCAUACCAAGGUCUCCUGGUGACAGCUAGCUGAAAGAGCUACCCGGAUUCAUAUCACACGGCGGGAGGGUAAGACACAUUUACACUAUCGAACAAUAAACAGUGUUCGAGAGGAGAACUGGAAUUAACAGAAUUCCGGGGGCCAUCUCUCGAAUGAAGUAACCCUCCCUGUCCUGUCACCCCUGUUUUUGUUCAUAGAAGUGAGGAUGUGUCUGGCUCUUGCUAAGUGAUGUGUUCUCGGGGAAAGGGUGGGGCUUCACAUGGAAGCUGUUUGUCUGAGCUGUCUUAUCGUGGGUGACAUCCCAAAUAACACAGCACUGGACGAAUCAGUGCCCGAAGCCUCAGCUGGUUUGACCACCCUGGCUCACGGGUUGACAGAACUCUGGGGUGGAUACUUCUCUGAUUAAUUGGGUUUGAUAGUAUGUUCAGAAAAUGGGGAAAAUAUUAUGAUCACUGUAUUAUGGGCUACAUUCACCUGUGUGACUGUUUUAGUUUUAUGGGGCUGUUGUCUAAUUCCCUGUGUAUGAGGCCUUAUUUCCAGGACUCUGGAGAAAUCGAUGGAAAUAGAUGGUGAUGUACCAGCGGAUUCCAGGUUCUGACCCGUGGAGUGCUGAAUGUAUGUCUACAGAACAAGUGGACGAAAAUGAUAAAUGAAAUUAUAUUAAAUUGGGAGGGUGUCCGUAUGGGGAUUACAUGAUAACCGACUUGGGACAGUUCUGGGAUUGGAGAAGAGGGUAUCCUUAUAGCAUAGGGGAAAACCUGGGAGCACUGUUGAACUUUGUAAAGGUGAUGAAAUCCUACUAACCAUCAAAACUAUUAAGCUCUCUGAUGCAGACACUUACACCCUCGGACUACAAAGGACCGGGACAGACACGAUGGGUGGGUUUUCUAUUAAGGUGCUGCCAAAACCAGAGGUCCCAGACGAACCAGGGCCAGACACACUCCUCUACCACCCCUGGACCGAACCUGCCACCACUGUCUAAAAAAUCCCAUUCAGGUAAUUAAUGUUGGAGACUAUUCAGCUAUUGAUCAAUUAGACACUGAGACUGGUUUUGAUGGUAGGGACAAUUUGUGGCUGACUUAUAUGAGGUAUACAGCUAAGACCCUGAAAAGAAAGGACUGCAUGAGUUACAUGAAACAUUGGUCAUGCUAGACCUGUUCUGGCUACACACCCAUUUGCUAUAGGAGAAGGAGAGGGGUGGUUGUGUAUUCUGAGAGGUUUUUACCAGGUUCAGCCCAAUUCAACUCUCUGUUCCUCUUUGAGCCUUGUGUCUCCUACAGUACCUCCUCAUCGGGCCCCUUGGGGUGUUGAGGCAUAUGGGGGCAAUUACAGUUGCAUCACGGGUACAGGUAAUGGCAUUGAUUAUGAGAGAUUGCCUGAAGCUGAUUGCAGUAGUAACAUAGCCAUUAAUUCCACUUGGCCAGUUACAGGCCUAAACCAAACUAGUGGUCUGGCUGAUGUGUGGUGGAUCUGUGGACCCAAAAGAGUGCUGAGACCCAUUCUUAGAGGAGACUGGCAAGGUACGUGUGCUCUGACCAGUUUGAUAAUUCCACUGACCAUUGUUGAUGUUACUGCUGAACAGCUGUUGGGUUCUGUACCCAGGGGACCUGAAAACAUUCCAUUCCAUGGGAGACAUAGACGUAGUGCUCCAUGGACAGAGGAUGUAGUUGACAUACACACUAACCUGUUGGGAGUGCCAGUGGGGGUUCCUCAUGAGUUUCAGGUCUUUGGUAGGAAUGAUGGAUUAUAGGUCCAGCCAUAGUGGAUGCAAAGCAGACUGCAUGGAUUCAUUACAUCUACUAUGAUCAACAGCGUUUUGUUAAUUACCCCCGUGAUGCACUCACUGGUAUGUCUGAACAGUUUGAGGCCACAUCUAGGGUUGCCAGACAGAAUAGACUUGCUUUGGAUAUGCUUCUUGCCAGUCAGGGGGGCGUCUGCAAGAUGUUCGGUGAACAAUGUUGCACGUAACACCAGUCCAGAUGGUAGUAUAUCUAAGGCCCUUAGUGGGCUUAAUGCAUCAAGUGCAUCAAGCCCACUAUCUGCUGAGAUGAGGACCAUGGUGGGGGUGGAGGAGUCUGGCCUGUUCUCUUGGGUGGGAGCCUGUUUUGGUAAGUACACUAGUAUGGUGGUUACUGGAUUUCUGACCCUAAUUCUUGUAUUUUUGUUAUUGAUGUGUUGUGAUGCUUGCAUCAUACCGUGUUUCAAGAAGUCUGUUACAGAUGUGGUGAAGGCUUCAGGCAUGAUGAUGCCUUUGCUUGAUGCUCCAGUUGGAGAUGCUGAUACUGAAGCAUGCUUUCAGGGGAGGAUGAGACUGACUGAGGAUGACCCAUGGUAUGCUGUGGGUGAGGUAGUAGAAUAAAUCUUACACCACCACAGUUCCUUGUUAUACAUUUUUAUGAUAGGUUUUCUUUCCAGUAUGUUUGUUCUCCCUGUUGUGAAGGUUUCGAGUCCCUGGGUGGCAUGAAGCCCAACUGGUGCAGGAUAGGAGUAGAUGAGGACCAGAUGGUUUAUAAUAAUGCUUUGCUCUGCUUUACUCUGUUUUCCAUGACCAAAGUUUUAUCCUGUAUCUUACAUGUCAAUAAACAAAGUGUUAUCCUGUUUUUGCUAAGUGACACCCUUGUGGGUGUCAAAAGGGGGACUUAAAUUUCA